rnacentral:rRNA from 1 species
AGAGUUUGAUCAUGGCUCAGGACGAACGCUGGCGGCACGCUUAACACAUGCAAGUCGAACGAGAGAAGAGGAGCUUGCUUUUCUGAUCUAGUGGCGGACGGGUGAGUAACACGUGAGCAAUCUGCCUUUCAGAGGGGGAUACCGAUUGGAAACGAUCGUUAAUACCGCAUAACAUAAUUGAACCGCAUGAUUUGAUUAUCAAAGAUUUAUCGCUGAAAGAUGAGCUCGCGUCUGAUUAGCUAGUUGGUAAGGUAACGGCUUACCAAGGCGACGAUCAGUAGCCGGACUGAGAGGCUGAUCGGCCACAUUGGGACUGAGACACGGCCCAGACUCCUACGGGAGGCAGCAGUGGGGAAUAUUGCACAAUGGAGGAAACUCUGAUGCAGCGAUGCCGCGUGAGGGAAGAAGGUUUUAGGAUUGUAAACCUCUGUCUUCAGGGACGAAAAAAGACGGUACCUGAGGAGGAAGCUCCGGCUAACUACGUGCCAGCAGCCGCGGUAAUACGUAGGGAGCGAGCGUUGUCCGGAAUUACUGGGUGUAAAGGGAGCGUAGGCGGGAUCGCAAGUCAGAUGUGAAAACUAUGGGCUUAACCCAUAAACUGCAUUUGAAACUGUGGUUCUUGAGUGAAGUAGAGGUAAGCGGAAUUCCUAGUGUAGCGGUGAAAUGCGUAGAUAUUAGGAGGAGCAUCAGUGGCGAAGGCGGCUUACUGGGCUUUAACUGACGCUGAGGCUCGAAAGCGUGGGGAGCAAACAGGAUUAGAUACCCUGGUAGUCCACGCCGUAAACGAUGAUUACUAGGUGUGGGGGGACUGACCCCUUCCGUGCCGCAGCAAACGCAAUAAGUAAUCCACCUGGGGAGUACGACCGCAAGGUUGAAACUCAAAGGAAUUGACGGGGGCCCGCACAAGCAGUGGAGUAUGUGGAUUAAUUCGAAGCAACGCGAAGAACCUUACCAGGUCUUGACAUCGUAUGCAUAGCUCAGAGAUGAGUGAAAUCUCUUCGGAGACAUAUAGACAGGUGGUGCAUGGUUGUCGUCAGCUCGUGUCGUGAGAUGUUGGGUUAAGUCCCGCAACGAGCGCAACCCUUACUGUUAGUUGCUACGCAAGAGCACUCUAGCAGGACUGCCGUUGACAAAACGGAGGAAGGUGGGGAUGACGUCAAAUCAUCAUGCCCCUUAUGACCUGGGCCUCACACGUACUACAAUGGCUGUCAACAGAGGGAAGCAAAGCCGCGAGGUGGAGCGAACCCCUAAAAGCAGUCUUAGUUCGGAUUGUAGGCUGCAACCCGCCUACAUGAAGUCGGAAUUGCUAGUAAUCGCAGAUCAGCAUGCUGCGGUGAAUACGUUCCCGGGCCUUGUACACACCGCCCGUCACGCCAUGGGAGUCGGUAACACCCGAAGCCUGUAGUCUAACCGCAAGGAGGACGCAGUCGAAGGUGGGAUUGAUGACUGGGGUGAAGUCGUAACAAGGUA